AUUGAACGCUGGCGGCAGGCCUAACACAUGCAAGUCGAGCGGAUGAAGGGAGCUUGCUCCUGGAUUCAGCGGCGGACGGGUGAGUAAUGCCUAGGAAUCUGCCUGGUAGUGGGGGAUAACGUCCGGAAACGGGCGCUAAUACCGCAUACGUCCUGAGGGAGAAAGUGGGGGAUCUUCGGACCUCACGCUAUCAGAUGAGCCUAGGUCGGAUUAGCUAGUUGGUGGGGUAAAGGCCUACCAAGGCGACGAUCCGUAACUGGUCUGAGAGGAUGAUCAGUCACACUGGGACUGAGACACGGUCCAGACUCCUACGGGGGGCAGCAGUGGGGAAUAUUGGACAAUGGGCGAAAGCCUGAUCCAGCCAUGCCGCGUGUGUGAAGAAGGUCUUCGGAUUGUAAAGCACUUUAAGUUGGGAGGAAGGUCAGUAAGUUAAUACCUUGCUGUUUUGACGGUACCAACAGAAGAAGCACCGGCUAACUUCGUG
rnacentral:rRNA from 1 species